UACGUCGAAUAGACGCCGAACGGACAGUACCUUUCCUGUCUGCCUAAGGCUAAACAACAAAUACAGAGCAAGUAUAUAAAUUUACACAGCGAAAAUAUAAAUAUACUUGGCUUGCACGAGGGCAAUCAAUAGCCAAAGUGAAAGUACUAAACUAAACAUUAUACAAGUACAAUGAUCAACUUUUAAUCACAUACAUGCAUACAACUUAUACAUUUACAUUCUUUUCUUUAGCAUCAUUUCUUCUCUUUUACAUCACAUAUUUUUUCUUUUAAACAUCUAUAAUCAUCAAAAUACAAAAGAUGAUAUAAAAG
rnacentral:lncRNA from 1 species